rnacentral:tRNA from 1 species
GGGUCCGUGGCGCAGCAUGGAUAGCGCGUCGGCCUUCUAAGCCGAAGAUCCUGGGUUCAAAUCCCAGCGGACCCGCCA